GUCGAGCGGCAAGGGCCUUCGGGCCCCUAGAGCGGCGGACGGGUGAGUAACACGUGGACAAUCUGCCCCCCGGUCCGGGAUAGCCCAGGGAAACCUGGAUUAAUACCGGAUGAGACGGGACCCGCGGAGGCGGGAUCCGGGAAAGGCGCUGCGGCGCCGCCGGGGGAUGAGUCUGCGUCCCAUUAGCUAGACGGCGGGGUAACGGCCCACCGUGGCGACGAUGGGUAGCCGGCCUGAGAGGGUGGACGGCCACAUUGGAACUGAGACACGGUCCAGACUCCUACGGGAGGCAGCAGCUAAGAAUCUUCCGCAAUGGGCGAAAGCCUGACGGAGCGACGCCGCGUGAACGAAGAAGGCCGUGAGGUUGUAAAGUUCUUUUCGGGAGGGGGAACAACCGUGGCAGGGAAUGGCCGCGGGAUGACGUGAAUCCCGGAAUAAGCCCCGGCUAACUACGUGCCAGCAGCCGCGGUAACACGUAGGGGGCGAGCGUUGUUCGGAAUCAUUGGGCGUAAAGGGCGUGCAGGCGGUCCUGCAAGUCCGGCGUGAAAGACCCCGGCCCAACCGGGGGGACGCGCUGGAAACUGCAGGGCUUGAGUACAGGAGGGGAUGCCGGAAUUCCAGGUGUAGGGGUGAAAUCUGUAGAUAUCUGGAAGAACACCAAUGGCGAAGGCAGGCAUCUGGCCAUGUACUG
rnacentral:rRNA from 1 species